GUGUGUGUGUAUGUGCGUACAUGUAUAUGUGUAUGUUUGCAUAUACAGAGA
rnacentral:miRNA from 1 species